UUCUACUUCUCCACUCCUCCUCACUAGCUACUGCCGAGAACAUCCCCUCACACCCCACCACCUUUCGAUUUUCCCUCACCAAAUCCAAGCCUCUCACAAGGUGAUUCAAGGUGGUUUAGAAGGUGUGGAGCACUCGGAACCCGAAGGACCUCUCUUGUUUGCCAUUAACCACCCACAUUUACGUCUAGUUUCUUCCCUAGCCUCGAGCUAGUAUAUGGGAAUGGAUCGUCAUCGAACCACGCUAGAGCAUGUCGUUGCACAGCUUCGGAUAUUCGGAUUACUUGGUAGAGAUACGCAUUCACUGUGA
rnacentral:lncRNA from 1 species